GACGAACGCUGGCGGCGUGCUUAACACAUGCAAGUCGAGCGGUAAGGCCCUUUCGGGGGUACACGAGCGGCGAACGGGUGAGUAACACGUGGGUGACCUGCCCUCAGCUCUGGGAUAAGCCUGGGAAACUGGGUCUAAUACUGGAUAUGACUCCACGGUGCAUGUCGUGGGGUGGAAAGCCUUGUGCGGCUGAGGAUGGGCCCGCGGCCUAUCAGCUUGUUGGUGGGGUGANGGCCUACCAAGGCGACGACGGGUAGCCGGCCUGAGAGGGCGACCGGCCACACUGGGACUGAGACACGGCCCAGACUUCUACGGGAGGCAGCAGUGGGGAAUCUUGCGCAAUGGGCGAAAGCCUGACGCAGCGACG
rnacentral:rRNA from 1 species